rnacentral:rRNA from 1 species
UACAGAGGUCUCGAGCGUUAGGCGGAAUCACUGGGCUUAAAGCGUGUGUAGGUGGAUGCCUAAGUACCUUGUGAAAUCCCACGGCUUAACCGUGGAACUGCUUGGUAUACUGGGUGUCUUGAGUCACUCAGGGGCGAGCGGAACAAAUGGUGGAGCGGUGAAAUGCGUAGAUAUCAGGAAGAACACCUAUGGCGAAGGCGGGUCUCUGGGCCGAAAUUGACGCUGAGGAGCGAAAGCGUGGGGAGCAAACAGG